GUGGAGGGUCGGCCGGUGAUGGACUUCGGAUGGCGUUGGGGAGAUUUGGCAGACUUCGGAGGUGAUCGAUCGUUGUAGGAAUCAAGCUGUCGAAGUCCGACCAUCAUAGAAGCUCGUCCGAUAUCCAUCCGCUAUGGAAGUUCGGUCGUAGUCUGGUUCUUGUAGAAGGCUGAAAGGAGACCGCUUAUUGUAGAAGCUCAGUCGAAGAUCGAU
rnacentral:lncRNA from 1 species